UUGUCUAAGAUUUAGUCUGGGAAAGAGGAAUGUGGUUAGAGGACAGUGACUGUCACAGGGCUGUUUCAUCUACAUGUAGUGCUCUCCAAUGAGAGCAGAAUAAGAAGCCAAAAGACAUAAACUGUGUCAGUGCCCAGGGUGGUUUUGAACUCCUGGGCUCAAAUGAUCCUCCCACCUCAGCCUCCCGAGUAACUGAGAUUACAGGCGUGAGCCACCACAUCUGGCAGCACUUCAAAUUUUCUGUGACAUCUCAGUAAGGCCAG
rnacentral:lncRNA from 10 species